UGGCGGGCCCACCGGGGCCACCUGGUCGCCGGGGGACGCACGUCCCCGGGCCCGCGCCCGCCGAAGCGCUCUGUGAACCCUGAUGAAGAUGGGCUGUCUGAGUACUAUGAAAAUUGUCAAAACUUUCAACAAUGGAUCUCUUGGUUCCGGCAUCGAUGAAGAACGCAGCGAAAUGCGAUAAGUAAUGUGAAUUGCAGAAUUCCGUGAAUCAUCGAAUCUUUGAACGCACAUUGCGCCCCCUGGCAUUCCGGGGGGCAUGCCUGUCCGAGCGUCAUUUCUGCCCUCAAGCACGGCUUGUGUGUUGGGUGUGGUCCCCCCGGGGACCUGCCCGAAAGGCAGCGGCGACGUCCGUCUGGUCCUCGAGCGUAUGGGGCUCUGUCACUCGCUCGGGAAGGACCUGCGGGGGUUGGUCACCACCAUGUUUUUACCACGGUUGACCUCGGAUCAGGUAGGAGUUACCCGCUGAACUUAAGCAUAUCAAUA
rnacentral:rRNA from 1 species